CAAUUGCUUAUAACCUUUUGGUUAUAAAUAAUUGUUAGUGGCAGACGGGUGAGUAAUGCGUAGGAAUCUACCUAGUAGUAUGGAAUAGCCAUUAGAAAUGAUGGGUAAUACUGUAUAAUCCCUGCGGGGGAAAGAUUUAUCGCUAUUAGAUGAGCCUACGUUAGAUUAGCUAGUUGGUAAGGUAAUGGCUUACCAAGGCUAUGAUCUAUAGCUGGUCUGAGAGGACGAUCAGCCACACUGGAACUGAGAUACGGUCCAGACUCCUACGGGAGGCAGCAGUGGGGAAUAUUGGACAAUGGGCGAAAGCCUGAUCCAGCUAUGCCGCGUGAGUGAAGAAGGCCCUCGGGUUUAAUGCCAAAUUCAAUAGGGAAGAUAAUGACGGUACCUAUA
rnacentral:rRNA from 1 species